UUGCGUCAUGUGAGGAGUCUGGCCGUGAGGUUUCUCAAGCCCCCAGAGCCUAUUCUGUGGGAUCCAUUGGCUGUCAAAGUCAAAUUCACUCUCUAUGAUCUACGCCAUCCCAACACAGUUUAAUUUGGUGAGACAGUCUGAUCAUCAAGGACUGAUCUAUCUCUCUUCAGAUUAUGGAUCAAGUAUUGGAGGAAACAAUGACCAUAUUCUGCUAUCAGUAGGGAUACAUCUGCGGGCGGGGCUAACUCGUUACACAAUGAUUCUGGUCUGUCUCAUUCUGUUAGUUACUUAUACUGACUCAAAACACACCAGUAUGAAGGACUGGGGUAUUAUUAUUAGUAGUAGUAGUAUUAUAUUAUUAUUGUCAAUCAUUUCUAAUUAUGCAUGUACGAUUACAAUUAAAGUAAUAUUGAAUUGAUUAAUUGUCACUUUUUGUGGGCGGGACUAGCAGAAGUAAACCAUAUAAUAAUUGAUUAGAAUAAGAUUAUGAAAUAAUGUAUAUC